CCAUGCCGCGUGAAUGAUGAAGGCCUUAGGGUUGUAAAGUUCUUUUAGUGGGGAAGAUAAUGACGGUACCCACAGAAAAAAGCCCCGGCUAACUCUGUGC
rnacentral:rRNA from 1 species